CGGGGAGCAGUUCCUCUUUCUCCCCCCCCCUCGCUCCCCUCCGCUCCGCCUCAACGUGCUGCCUCUCUCUCGCCUGAGAGGGAGGGGGGAGAAGCGGAGUGGUGGCGUGUUCAGGGGAGAAGGCAGAGCAGAGUUUCCCACAGGAUCCCCUCCUUUGAUGAUGUAACAUGGUCCAUACUCACUGAUGUUGACAUCUGCCAGACCUGAAGGGGUGAAUGAGUUACUGUGAACAUCAAUACCCUUGAAUAUUUCACACCGCAUUUCAAUGAAGCGCCGAACAGGGGAAGGACGUAUGUCAUACAAGUUGAGCUCAGCUCCCCAUUGUGAAAGCUCCCAAGAAUCCACCUUGUAGGCUGGCAGAUCCUGGUGCACAGUGCCAGUCCAGGGAAGGAGCAGUUGGAUUUCUUGGACAGUAUGGCUACCUUUCCCUCAACCAUGCUAAAUGAAUGAGACUGUGCCAUUCCCAGCGAAGUUAUCACCAGCCCUGCGGGUCAACCCUACUGGAGAAACAGAAGAUGUAUAAACAAAACCAAGGACAUUGGCCGUCUGUUUCUUGAGGUUAUUCAGAAUGUUACUAUUGGUGCACAUGGGCUGACACAGACCACUGAUGAUGAACUAUACCAAGAGAAGAAAAUACAGACUUCAGGUGGCAGAUCCUCCUCAGCACCGGAAUGUGCAACUGCAGAAGGAACAAUUUUGGCUCAGGAAGCCACUGGUGAUGUUCAGAGAUAGUAGUUACUGACAGAUGUGUAAUACAAAGCAAAACAAUCCACUCCUCUGUUAAGAGAAUACAAGUCACCUAACCGGAUAGUCACCCGAGAUGUCUUGGAGUGCUGUAUUAAUUUGCUAUAUUAGUUACAUUUUAUUUCAAGAGAUUGUUAGAAAAUAAUGGGAGGGUGGGAGAUGUGGGGGUAGAAGUGAGAGAAAUGCCAAAUAUGUUUGUUUUAUUUUCUUGUUGAUGCUUCAUUUUCCUCCAGAUUCUCUAACCAACUCUAAUUAUUUAUUUGAUUUGAAAGAAACAAAGGGAACAUGUAACAGCGGCCACUGGGUAGUGGUGCAGAUAUGGGAUGGGAUUUAACCAGGGGCUACAGAAGGGAAGUACAGCUUCCCAUCCUGUGCUCAAAGGAGAGGGGAGCAACAUGUCCUGUCCCUGAGCUGGGAGAGCAAUGCUCCUCCCCAGCUGGUACAGUGCGAGCUCCCCCUUCUGUUUCAAUUUACUUUAACUGCUGGGUAUAACCCUUUGAAACGCUGACCCAUGUCAUGUGAUUGAGACACAGUCUCUUCCCAGCACUCCUCUGUGUCAUUCCUUCACCACAGUCAUGUAAGCACCUACAGCCUGCUAGGUUCUUCGCAGACAGGUAUAAAAACAAGAGGCCUGAUUCUCCUCUAAAUUGGGGUAGCUCCACUGUCUUCUGUCACAACCCUGGGUUUUCUAUGACCAGGUAUCCAUUGCCUGCUGCCACUAUCAAGCUUCUCACUUGGAAAUUUUACCUCAGAACACUUCUCCCUUUGCUCCCUUGUUACAAAGACUCUGUCCCCAUGCGCAGGGGUCCUCCGGUAAUGAUGUCUGUCCGUGUUACAGAAAAUGGCAGCAAAGAAGUAUUAUCUUCCCACCCUAGGUUCUUAUUUCUGCUGCAGCACUUCUACUUUGUGCCAACCCAGAGAGCUAGGAACUGAACUCAGCUCAGAUCCUUUGCAUGGCAACUCACCGUACUGGACCAAACUACUGGGGCAGCCCAGCUUAUGGUACCGUAGUUGUUGCCUCUAAGUACCAAGGACCAUUUGAGCAGCAAUAGUCAGAAACCUAAAAUACGGCAAAAUAAAAUCUUCUCUGGUUUGUGUGGUGCUUGGGAAGCAGCAUCUAGAGAGCUGCUUGGGGUGAAAUGGAGGUUCUGUCUGUACCACUUCUGAAUUGUAGAUGAUUUUAUUAAAUUGUAUCAUGAAAUGA